rnacentral:rRNA from 1 species
CACGUAGGGGGCAAGCGUUGUCCGGAAUUACUGGGCGUAAAGGGCGUGUAGGCGGCCCUGUAAGUCAGGUGUGAAAGGCCACAGCUUAACUGUGGUAUUGCACUUGAAACUGCGGGGCUUGAGUGCAGGAGAGGGAAACGGAAUUCCUGGUGUAGCGGUGAAAUGCGUAGAUAUCAGGAGGAACACCAGUGGCGAAGGCGGUUUCCUGGACUGUAACUGACGCUGAGGCGCGAAAGCGUGGGGAGCGAACAGG